AGCAGCCGCGCCAGCCUCAUGCCGAGUCCCGCUAGAGAAGCCACAGCCAGUACGCCAGGUUUCCCCGCGCCUCUGCCGAGUGGGUUGAAGGCAAAUACUUGAAGUUGCAAUCGAAGGUCAAGAAAAUGGAAUCAAGAGGUCACAAUCCUUCUCUGAUGAUGGCUUAGAAAGCUGGAAGACACUCAACAUUGAAUCCUGGGGCUCUGUGCCAUGCUUGCUAGGAGAAACAGCCACCAUGAGUCCAUCUUUCAGAUCUCAAGUGAACAGUCAUUCUCCAGCUGGGAUUGAGAACAAGGGGAAGCUGGCCAUAGAGCCAGGUGACCAAAGAUGGAAGACAAAGGGUGGGCUGUGAUUCCCAGAGCUCCAAGCCUUGUUCUGUCUUGUCACACCAACUGUUACUGAUGAACAGAAAAGAUUUUCUUGGAAUUCCUAUGCCCCUGGCCUUGACUCUGGAGCCAGGGGUCAGGUGACUCACAGCUGAAGAAGUGUGGCUGCUAUUAAAACAUGCCAGAGGAGAGCUUACGACGGCCACUAUUGUUAAGAGUAUCAUUAACGGUGUCAAAAUUCUUGUCAAAAAUCCUGUGUUGCCCCAUAAAUAUAUACACCUACUAUGUAUCCACAAAAAUUUAAAAAAAUCUUACUUUGAAUUACAAAAAAAGGAAGCAGAACAGUAUCUAAUAAAUGACAAAGUGCUUUUCAUGUCUUCUCAGUUGAUCUCCAGCACAACUGUAUGCACUAAUGACUACUAGGCAUUGUUCUGAACGGACAGGAAAGCAAACUCAUAUGUUAAGGGACUUGCCCUGUGGGUCAGUCAGUAUCAAAGCUGAAACCAGGAGCAGAGACCAGGUCUCUGACCUCUCAGGGCCGGCUUGCAAAUUCCCUAGGGGCCUGCUCUUGGGAACACAGGGCGGGUGUUCCGGGAGGGAGGGGCGUGGGGAAGAGAAGGCAGCCUGGCAGUGACUCUGUGCUGUGCUCUGGCUCCUGCCGUUGCCCUUUCACAAC
rnacentral:lncRNA from 1 species